AUGGAAAGUAUGGCCAGAAGACUCUUAGAACUAAGUUGCUCUCCACUUUGUGAAGGAAAUUGUGUGAAAACAAACAGCGCAGUACAGAUGAUCACUUUCUAUUUUAAGUUAUCAGCACUGGUUGAUAACAGACAGAUCUUCUUUCACUGUCAUUUUCCUUUUGAUUGUGUUGUUGGUGUGCGCCCACUCCCCCACCCCACCCCCAAAAUGCUAUUAUGGGAUGGGGACUACUCUAGAUGCUUGUUGUGUGUCAGUGAGUUAAACAGACUCACUGGGAGCUGGUCAGAGAGCAGAAUGCAUGAGCUGUGUGUUGCUAAGAAAACGUUAAGAGCUCUGAGAAAAGGGCAACAGGAAAGGAGGAUGGAGAAGGUGUCCCAGCUCUCACCUUCCUGGACCUGCUCUGAAGUUAAUACAUACGGGAAUCCAUGCAGGUUGAAGCAGUUCUCGACUGGAAGAGUGGCACACUUAUCACUCCAGAUCUAGAUUCUCUGUGGAAGGAACUUAUAUUGUGCUCCAGAGUGAUUUUCUCUGCUUCUCUCUACCUUUAUCUUGGUAAGAGGCAAUAGUUUGUCUACAAAAGUGUGUUACUCCACUAUUACAUUUUAGAAACCAAGACCUCUUAGAGAUGUCUAAUAUGUAUCACUUGCUUUCAGAGCUGUGUUAUUCCUGAGGGUGAGAAAAAAAGAGAGAUAGCUGACCUAGGCCCCUGGCUAGCUGACAAAACCCUAACUGAUUUUUCUUUUCUUAAUUUAAAAGAUGGCAAAAUGAUUUUUCUUUUUUUAAUUUAAAAGAAGGUGAUUUAUCUGUGAUGAACGGUCAAAAAAUAAAUGAUCAGAGGCCAUGUACAAUCAAUUUUGCCCAAGAGUCUGGGUGAAGCACUGGACAAGCACACAGACUGCAGAGGAUUGAAUCCUGGCUUUUAAACUGAGUUUAUGUCUAACUGUAGGCAUCAUAUUUUCUCUCUCUGAUCUGUAAAAGGGAAUAAUAAUUUCUAACUCGCAGAUUUGUAGGGAUCAUGUGAGAAAGGUUUUAGACACAUCUGUUACAUGGUGUUCAUUUUUUUCUGUUAGUUUUUAUUAUAUGUUUCCCAAAACAUAAACUGUCCUGAAGAAUCCUGUGCAUGUGUGCUAAGUCCCUUCAGUCAUGUCCAACUCUUUGCGACCGAAUGGUCUAGAGUCCGCCAGGCUGAAGAACAACCUUAUACUAAUGCUUACAAAGCUUACUUUUUAUCCUUUGGGGCAAUCAAGUGGAUGAAAAAUGUGCAAUAAAAAUAUUUGACAUACAAUUUUUAACUAAUUUUAACAUUAGUACUGAAAUAGAAAAAAAGUUAUAUGUUGACCAGAGAGAUACUUAGAAAAUAUUCAAAACCAGAAGAAACCAUGAAGUUUUAUUUUAAAUGUUUUAUUACAAAUUUCUGCUUUGUUUUAUUACAAAGGGAAAUAAACAUGAAAAGAGCAAAUCUCAUUCAUAAACAUUUGCCCAGAGACAGCAAUAUUUAAAGCAGCAAUAGAUAACUUUAUCAGAAGUUUUGUGGAGCUUUUUUCCCACUGACUUCAAUUAUGAUUUCAAGAAAAAAAAAUUCGUAGUAUGUCUUAAAUUUUGUUUCAGGCCUAUUCUAUUUCAAGUUCAUGCCAUCUGUGUUUAAGACUGCUAGACCCAAAUAACCAUCAAUAGUUACUUAGGAGCCAGAAAAUAAACUAUGGUACAUCCACACAACAAAUGUCUACAGUUGAGAAGGACCCCUUUGUGCUAAUAUGGGAAACCUCACCCUAGUAUUAAAUGAAAAAGUGAAAUGUAAAACAGUGUAACACCUUAUCCUGGGUGGCAAGUAUAUAAAUCCGUAUCUGUUGUGUGCACAGUAACUCAUACAGGAAGAACACAGAAGAAGCUCCCUUGCUUCUACUAUGGAGGAGCAAAGGGUGGAUAGGCACAAAAAUAGGAGUGAGAUUUUGUAACAUAUAUAUGUUAAUAAUAUUUUGAUUUUUUUUAAAUGUGAUGGAAACCUAUGAGAAUAUAGCUUUCUAAGACCAUGAAAAUGACAGGAAAAAAUACUAUUUAGUGGAAAAGAAGGUUCUGGAGAAGUACACACAACAUGAUGCCAUUUUGGAAAAACUGCAAGUUUCUGUGUUCAUAAACACAGAAAUAUGCAGUGGAAUUUUCACCAAAAUUGUAAUUCAUGGUAAAAUUUCAGGUCAUUUUGGCUUUCAUAGUUAUACUUUUCUAAAUAAUUUGAAUAUCUUUUAUUUAAAAACAAUAAAAUGGGACUUCCCUAGUGGUCCAGUCGUUAAGAUUUAGCCUUCCGAUGAAGGGGGUGCCUGUUGGUUCCCUGUUCAGGGAUCCCACAUGCCUCAGGGCCAAAUAGCCAAGCCAAAAAACAGAAACAAUGUUGUAACAAAUCCAAUAAAGACUUUAAAAAUAGUCCACGUUAAAAAAAUCUUUAAAAAAUUAAAAAAGUUAAACUAUUAAUAAAGGCUGAUAAAAAUCCAAAAAUCAUAGGCAAAAAGAAAAAAAAAAGCAGGAGAGAAAGAAAAGAGAAUGGAAGAGGAGAUGAGAAAAAAAGUGUGGCUAUAAAAAUUCACGUCUUCAACUCCUUCAAGGGUAUGCUCACAUUUCCCCUUGUCUGAUCUCACCAGUCUAUUAACAGUGUGAUCUGUACGCCUCUGCCUACCCAUCUGAUCCCCCUUAUUCAGUAUUUCUAUUUUUCCAUAGCAUGUAUCACCUUGCAGCCCAGUAUUUUAACCUAUUUGUUUCAGUUCAGUUCAGUUUAGUCGCUCAGUCGUGUCCGACUCUUUGCGACCCCAUGAAUCGCACCACGCCAGGCCUCCCCUGUCCAUCACCAA
rnacentral:lncRNA from 1 species